CCCGGACCUUGCACACACCGCCCGUCAAGCCAUGGAAGCUGGGUGUACCUAAAGUCGGUAACCGCAAGGAGCCGCCUAUGGUAUGACUGGUGACUGGGGUG
rnacentral:rRNA from 1 species